AGGGCCUGUGCUUUUGGUGUGCAGCCAAGUACACAUCCGGGCACAAGUGUAUGAAAUCUCAAUUAUAUCAACUCUUAUUAGAUUCGGACCCGGAGAAUUGGGUUAAGGGCGUUACAAGUUAAGUUUUGGAAUAAGCUUAUACUAAUUAGGUAUGAAAUAUGUGGUAAGAUUGCAUGCUUGAAAUGAUCAUUUUAGGCACUUUUACAUUAGUGUCUAGAGACAUCAAGAACAUGUCUUGAGACCAUAAGAACAAAUUUUAUCAAUUGGGGUAUUACACUAGCCAAGGUCUUGAGAUUGACCUUAUAAGUCUCGAGACAAUUUAGCUUUAGUCUUGAGACAGAGUGACCUCUAUCUUAAGACAAGGGCACAUCAAAGCUAAAAUAGAUUUGCCUUGUUUCAAGUCUCGAGACAAGAACCCUUUGUCUCGAGACACCCAAAC
rnacentral:lncRNA from 1 species